AUUACUUCCGGCCAAGUCACUUGCCGCUGUUAUGGUACAAUUGUGUAUGGAGGUUCCAGUAUUCUGGUUCACGUCAGUUCUACCCUGUGCUGUAAUGGCAUUGAAUUGGUUCUGCAUUGGGAGUCUAGGGUACACAUAGAAAAUACCAAUGACGUCAAAAUAUACAAUUCGGUCAUUUCCAAUGGUGAUGACUGCGUGUCCAUUGGAGCCGGUUGCCAUGAUGUUGAUAUAAAGAACAUAACAUGUGGACCUGGUCAUGGUAUAAGCAUUGGUAGUCUGGGAAAUCACAACUCCAGAGCCUGUGUCUCAAACAUUACGGUGAGGGACUCGGUUAUAAAAGUGUCAGAUAACGGGGUUAGGAUCAAGACGUGGCAGGGUGGAUCAGGAACAGUAUCAGGAGUGACAUUUAGUAAUAUUCAUAUGGAAAGUGUUAGGAACCCAAUCUUAU